rnacentral:rRNA from 1 species
GACGAACGCUGGCGGCGCGCCUAACACAUGCAAGUCGAACGAGCGAGAGAGAGCUUGCUUUCUCGAGCGAGUGGCGAACGGGUGAGUAACGCGUGAGGAACCUGCCUCAAAGGGGGGACGAACAGUUGGAACGACUGCUAAUACCGCAUAAGCCCACGACCGGCAUCGGGUUGAGGGAAAGGAGCAAUCCGCUUUGAGAUGGCCUCGCGUCCGAUUAGCUAGUUGGUGGGGUAACGGCCCACCAAGGCAACGAUCGGUAGCCGGACUGAGAGGUUGAACGGCCACAUUGGGACUGAGACACGGCCCAG